AUGAGAGACGAUGAAAAAGAAGGCGUCUACAGCCUCCUUCCUCUCCUACCACCCUUUCUGCGGGUGCUGUCAGUGGGAACGGGGGUCACGUCCUCUGCAAAGAGAAUCAGACAUACAAUUAUUAGUUCUAUGCCCAAUAAGGACGAGACCACAAUGAAACAGCAAAGUAACAAGAUAUGUGUUCUUCAUUUGCAUAUAUGCGGCGGGAAGUCAGAAUUUACCAAUGCGUCCAAUUUUCAUGCCAGAACGAGCGAGUGCCCUGAGAGCGGAUUGAGCACCAGGUCCAGGAGUCUUGGUCUUGUUGCCUCCAGUGGCACGGAGCUUAAUGUGCAAAGCAGUGAUGCCGAGCUCCUGGAAGCGCGAGUGGAAAACAUAUAA
rnacentral:rRNA from 1 species